rnacentral:rRNA from 1 species
AUUGAACGCUAGCGGGAUGCCUUACCCAUGCAAGUCGAACGGAGUGCCGAACGGGUGAGUAUUGUAUCGGACCGUGCCAGUUAGCGGGGGAUACCUACGCGAAAGCUUAGCUAUUACCGCUUACUAUUGAAGGGGCCGUUAUCGGAUUAGCUAGUUGGUGGGGUAACGGCUAACCAAGGCGCGGACCCGUAGCUGGUUUGAGAGGACGACCAGCCACACUGGGACUGAGACACGGCCCAGACUCCUACGGGAGGCAGCAGUGGGGAAUUUUGGACAAUGGGGGAAACCCUGAUCCAGCCAUCCCGCGUGUGCGAUGGAGGCCUUCGGGUUGUAAAGCACUUUUGGCAGGAAAGCGGUACCUGCAGAAUAAGCACCGGCUAACUACGUGCCAGCAGCCGCGGUAAUUC